rnacentral:rRNA from 1 species
CAGCGGCCCUAGUGGUGAUCGUUAUUAUUGGGCCUAAAGCGUCCGUAGCCGGCCCGGUAAAUCUCUGGGUAAAUCGUUAGGCUUAACCUAGCGAAUUCUGGGGAGACUGCCGGGCUUGGGACCGGGAGAGGUUGGAGGUACUCCAGGGGUAGGGGUGAAAUCCUGUAAUCCUUGGGGGACCACCGGUGGCGAAGGCGUCCGACCAGAACGGGUCCGACGGUAAGGGACGAAGCCCUGGGGCGCGAACCGGAUUAGAUACCCGAGUAGUCC